rnacentral:lncRNA from 1 species
CUCCUUUUCCUUGAGAUUCCAAAUUUCCAAUUCAAGAAAAUUUGUGCUCUGCGAAUCCUACAAGCAAGAGAUGGCAUCGUUUUGCAGAUCAGCGUUAAUGGCAGGUUCCAGAAACUUAGCAUCAAGAUCCAAAACCGUAACUCAAAAGUCCCUUAACCUUAAACCCACAGCGACUUCAGCUCCUUUCGCUUCAAUGUCUCAGUCCAUCCCUCGCGCUUCAAGGUUCGCACUCUUUUUUUUACCUUUUUCAAAGAAAUUUCACUCAUUUUCCUUGUCUUUAAUUUGUACAUGUUUGUGAACUGUUCGAGUAUGCCUAGUGUUUUAAUCAGAAACCUUUUUCCAUACAAUUCCAAGGGUUCUCUCGGCUUUGGGAAGUGUUGAAACGAUGAUGCCGCUUCACAGUGCUGUUGCUUCAGCUCGGCUCAGGUCAAGCAUCGCUGCUGAUUCCUCUUGCUGGA